UACGGAGGGGGCCAGCGUUGCUCGGAAUUAUUGGGCGUAAAGGGCGCGUAGGCGGCCAGGCAAGUUUGAUGUGAAAUCCCUCGGCUUAACCGGGGAACUGCGUCUGAUACUGGAUGGCUGGAGGUUGGGAGAGGGAUGCGGAAUUCCAGGUGUAGCGGUGAAAUGCGUAGAUAUCUGGAGGAACACCGGUGGCGAAGGCGGCAUCCUGGACCAAUUCUGACGCUGAGGAGCGAAAGCCAGGGGAGCAAACGGG
rnacentral:rRNA from 1 species